GACGAACGCUGGCGGCGUGCCUAAUACAUGCAAGUUGAGCGCUGAAGGUUGGUACUUGUACCAACUGGAUGAGCAGCGAACGGGUGAGUAACGCGUGGGGAAUCUGCCUUUGAGCGGGGGACAACAUUUGGAAACGAAUGCUAAUACCGCAUAAAAACUUUAAACACAAGUUUUAAGUUUGAAAGAUGCAAUUGCAUCACUCAAAGAUGAUCCCGCGUUGUAUUAGCUAGUUGGUGAGGUAAAGGCUCACCAAGGCGAUGAUACAUAGCCGACCUGAGAGGGUGAUCGGCCACAUUGGGACUGAGACACGGCCCAAACUCCUACGAGAGGCAGCAGUAGGGAAUCUUCGGCGAUGGACGAAAGUCUGACCGAGCAACGCCGCGUGAGUGAAGAAGGUUUUCGGAUCGUAAAACUCUGUUGGUAGAGAAGAACGUGUGUGAGAGUGGAAAGCUCAUCAAGUGACGGUAACUACCCAGAAAGGGACGGCUAACUACGUG
rnacentral:rRNA from 1 species